rnacentral:other from 1 species
AAUUACCUGAGAUGUUUGCCAGUGGAUAAUGUCCCUGAGCCGAUACUUAAAACUUUAAUGAAUUGGUUUUCUACUGUUGGUGUGUAUACUUGUCUUGGCUUUUAGCCCUGAAGCAAGGAACCUGAAAACGGUAUAACUAGUUCCCUUGAACCGUAGGGUUCAAGGACUGACAUUCACAGCGGCAUCUCGGGUCCUUA